GUGUCAGCCGCCGCGGUAAUACAGAGGUCUCAAGCGUUGUUCGGAAUUACUGGGCGUAAAGGGUGCGCAGGCCGCGCGGGCAGUCAAAUGUGUAAUUCAGAGGCUCAACCUCUGGACUGCGCUUGAUACUUCCGUGCUCGAACCUUGGAGAGGGAUCUGGAAUUCUCGGUGUAGCAGUGAAAUGCGUGGAUAUCGAGAAGAACACCUAGGGCGAAAGCAAGAUCCUGGACAAGUGUUGACGCUCAUGCACGAAGGCUAGGGGAGCGAACGGGAUUAGAUACCCCGGUAGUCCUAGCUGUAAACGGUGCACGUUUGGUGUGGGAGGCAACCCCUCCUGUGCCGAAGCUAACGCGAUAAGCGUGCCGCCUGGGUAGUACGGUCGCAAGACUAAA
rnacentral:rRNA from 1 species